UACGUGAGGGGCGAACGUUGUUCGGUGUCACUGGGCUUAAAGGGCGCGUAGGUGGCUGCGUAAGUAAGGUGUGAAAGCCCUCGGCUUACCCGGGGAAUUGCGCCUUAUACUGCGUGGCUUGAGGAUUUCAGGGGAAGGGGGAACUCCAGGUGUAGCGGUGAAAUGCGCAGAUAUCGGGAGGAACACCGGUGGCGAAGGCGGCGACCUGGGUAGAUACUGACGCUGAGGUGCGAAAGCGUGGGGAGCAAACAGG
rnacentral:rRNA from 1 species